AUUGAACGCUGGCGGCAUGCUUUACACAUGCAAGUCGAACGGUAACAGGCCGCAAGGUGCUGACGAGUGGCGAACGGGUGAGUAAUGCAUCGGAACGUGCCCAGUCGUGGGGGAUAACGCAGCGAAAGCUGUGCUAAUACCGCAUACGAGCUAUGGAUGAAAGCGGGGGACCGUAAGGCCUCGCGCGACUGGAGCGGCCGAUGUCAGAUUAGGUAGUUGGUGGGGUAAAGGCCUACCAAGCCGACGAUCUGUAGCUGGUCUGAGAGGACGACCAGCCACACUGGGACUGAGACACGGCCCAGACUCCUACGGGAGGCAGCAGUGGGGAAUUUUGGACAAUGGGCGCAAGCCUGAUCCAGCAAUGCCGCGUGCAGGAAGAAGGCCUUCGGGUUGUAAACUGCUUUUGUACGGAACGAAACGGUCUGGGUUAAUACCCUGGGCUAAUGACGGUACCGUAAGAAUAAGCACCGGCUAACUACGUGCCAGCCGCCGCGGUAA
rnacentral:rRNA from 1 species